UGAAUGAAUGCCUGCAUGCAGACUCCCAAGUUUUGAACCCCAGUUCAGCCACUAAUCACUGUGGCAUUGGACAACCGAUUCAGUGUCUCUGCCUCAGUUUCCCUGGCUGUAAAAUCAGCAUAAGAGUAGUACUGACCUCCUGGGGUUG